GACAACCACACCGGUGGCCUAAUGUUUAGAGCGUUCGCCUCGGAUGCGAGAGCUCGUGGGUUCGAUCCCCGGUCGAGCCA